rnacentral:rRNA from 1 species
GAUGAACGCUAGCUACAGGCUUAACACAUGCAAGUCGAGGGACCGGCGCACGGGUGAGUAACACGUAUCCAACCUGCCCUUUACUCGGGGAUAGCCUUUCGAAAGAAAGAUUAAUAACAGAUAUACAGGAUGGGGAUGCGUUGCAUUAGGUUGUGGGUGAGGUAACGGCCAACCAAGCCUUCGAUGGUUAGGGGUUCUGGGAGGAAGGUCCCCCACAUUGGAACUGAGACACGGUCCAAACUGCGACGGGAGGCAAGAGUGAGGAAGAUAGGUCAAUGUGCGCUAGCCUGAACCAGCCAAGUAGCGGAAAGGAUGUAGGCUUAUGGGUCGUAAACUUCUUUUAUAUAAGAAUAGGUAUUAUAUCAAUAAGGAUCGGCUAACUCCGUGCCAGCCGCCGCGGUAAUUC